rnacentral:rRNA from 1 species
AGUGAACGCUGGCGGCGUGCUUAACACAUGCAAGUCGAACGAGAACGGAUUAUAGCUUGCUAUAAUUGUCAGCUAAGUGGCGCACGGGUGAGUAAUGUAUAGGUAAUAUGCCUCUUACUAAGGGAUAACAAAUGGAAACGUUUGCUAAUACCUCAUACUCCUUAUUAACCUACGUUAAUAAGGGAAAGAUUUAUUGGUAAGAGAUUAGCCUGUAUUGUAUCAGUUAGUUGGUGGGGUAAUGGCUUACCAAGACUAUGACACAUAACUGGUUUGAGAGGAUGAUCAGUCACACUGGAACUGAGACACGGGCCAGACUCCUACGGGAGGCAGCAGUGGGGAAUAUUGCACAAUAGACGGAAGUCUGAUGCAGCAACGCCGCGUGGAGGAUGACACAUUUCGGUGCGUAAACUCCUUUUAUAUGAGAAGAUAAUGACGGUAUUAUAUGAAUAAGCACCGGCUAACUCCGUGCCAGCCGCCGCGGUAACAC